GACGAACGCUGGCGGCGUGCUUAACACAUGCAAGUCGAACGGAAAGGCCCUGCUUUUGUGGGGUGCUCGAGUGGCGAACGGGUGAGUAACACGUGAGUAACCUGCCCUUGACUUUGGGAUAACUUCAGGAAACUGGGGCUAAUACCGGAUAGGAGCUCCUGCUGCAUGGUGGGGGUUGGAAAGUUUCGGCGGGUGGGGAUGGACUCGCGGCUUAUCAGCUUGUUGGUGGGGUAGUGGCUUACCAAGGCUUUGCCGGGUAGCCGGCCUGAGAGGGUGGCCGGACACAUUGGGACUGAGAUAAGGCCCAGCCUCCUCCGGGAGGCAGCAGUGGGGAAUAUUGCACAAUGGGCGGAGGCCUGAUGCAGUAACGCCGCGUGCGGGAUGACGGGCUUCGGGUUGUAAACCGCUUUCGCCUGUGACGAAGCGUGAGUGACGGUAAUGAGUAAAGAAGCACCGGCUAACUACGUG
rnacentral:rRNA from 1 species